AACGAACGCUGGCGGCAUGCCUAACACAUGCAAGUCGAACGAGACCUUCGUGUCUAGUGGCGCACGGGUGCGUAACGCGUGGGAACCUGCCCUUAGGUUCGGAAUAACUCCUCGAAAGGGGUGCUAAUACCGGAUAAUGUCUUCGGACCAAAGAUUUAUCGCCUUUGGAUGGGCCCGCGUUGGAUUAGCUAGUUGGUAGGGUAAAAGCCUACCAAGGCGACGAUCCAUAGCUGGUCUGAGAGGAUGAUCAGCCACACUGGGACUGAGACACGGCCCAGACUCCUACGGAAGGGAGCAGUGGGGAAUAUUGGACAAUGGACGAAAGCCUGAUCCAGCAAUGCGGCGUGAGUGAUGAAGGCCUUAGGAUUGUAAAGCUCUUUUACCCGGGAUGAUAAUGACAGUACCGAGAGAAUAAGCUCCGGCUAACUCCGUG
rnacentral:rRNA from 1 species